AAAUAUUCAUUCAACAUUCUCAUUAAUUAAUACCUCAAAGGUAUAUAUACAAAUACAAUUGAUUGGCAUACAAACAAAUAACUGAAAAUAAUAGAAAAACUUAAUUUGUCGGCUUGUAACCUGGUUACCGCUUUCUGGUAAUGGAUUACAACUGUUUCUAAAACUAAAACUCAACAUAGUGGUAACAUGUUACUAAAAUGCAUCAAUCGAUUGUUGUUGUUCCAAAAGCCAAAAACAAUACAAUGAUAAUCAGUUAUCAAAAUGGAAUAACCACUUACAACAUUUGAAAUAUGUGAUUUUCACAACUGUUGAUAUGUAACCCAACCUUUAUUCCUUUUCUACCACUACCUCCUUGCUCCAUAUUUUACCUUGUAGUUAGUCAUUGUUUGCUACUACUUCCUUGCUCUAUCUUUCAAAUAUAAUUCAUACAAAAUUAAUACAAAUAAAUACUAUUAAAAAAAUAUUUAAUUAAAAUAAACCAAAAUAAAAAAAUAAAAAAAACUCAAAUAAAAUACACAAAUUAUAAAAUAAAUACCUUUGAAUGUUCAUUUUUCACAAAUAAUUAUUUUCCCACACAUACAAAAU
rnacentral:lncRNA from 1 species